rnacentral:rRNA from 1 species
CGACAGCAAUAUGAAGGUCAGGCUGAAGACCUUACCCGAUUAGCUGAGAGGUGGUGCAUGGCCGUCGUCAGUUCGUACUGUGAAGCAUCCUGUUAAGUCAGGCAACGAGCGAGACCCACGUCCACAGUUGCCAGCAUACCCUCCGGGGUGAUGGGUACACUGUGGAGACCGCCGCUGCUAAAGCGGAGGAAGGAGUGGGCAACGGUAGGUCAGUAUGCCCCGAAUCUCCCGGGCUACACGCGGGCUACAAUGGUUGGUACAAUGGGCAUCUACCCCGAAAGGGGAAGGAAAUCUCUUAAAGCCAAUCGUAGUUCGGAUUGAGGGCUGCAACUCGCCCUCAUGAAGCUGGAAUCCGUAGUAAUCGCGUUUCAACAGAACGCGGUGAAUACGUCCCUGCUCCUUA